AACUAACGCGAAGAUCCUUACCUACCCUUGACAUGUACGGAAUUCCGCUGAGAGGUGGAAGUGCCCGAAAGGGAGCCGUAACACAGGUGCUGCAUGGCUGUCGUCAGCUCGUGUCGUGAGAUGUUGGGUUAAGUCCCGCAACGAGCGCAACCCUUGUCCCUAGUUGCUACGCAAGAGCACUCCAGGGAGACUGCCGGUGACAAACCGGAGGAAGGUGGGGAUGACGUCAAGUCCUCAUGGCCCUUAUGGGUAGGGCUUCACACGUCAUACAAUGGUCGGAACAGAGGGUUGCCAAGCCGCGAGGUGGAGCCAAUCCCAGAAAACCGAUCGUAGUCCGGAUCGCAGUCUGCAACUCGACUGCGUGAAGCUGGAAUCGCUAGUAAUCGCGGAUCAGCAUGCCGCGGGAAUUCGACUU
rnacentral:rRNA from 1 species